rnacentral:rRNA from 1 species
CCUACGGGCGGCAGCAGUGAGGAAUAUUGGUCAAUGGCCGGAAGGCUGAACCAGCCAUGCCGCGUGAAGGUCAGUGCCCUAUGGGCGUUAAACUUCUUUUGUGCGGGAGCAAUAAUGGUCACGUGUGGCCAGACGAGAGUACCGUACGAAUAAGCAUCGGCUAACUCCGUGCCAGCAGCCGCGGUAAUACGGGGGAUGCAAGCGUUAUCCGGAUUUAUUGGGUUUAAAGGGUGCGUAGGCUGUGAGGUAAGUCAGCGGUGAAAUGCCCCCGCUCAACGGGGUGAAGUGCCAUUGAUAGUGCCUGGCUGGAAUGCGGAUGCCGUGGGAGGAAUGUGUGGUGUAGCGGUGAAAUGCAGAGAUAUCACACAGAACACCGAUUGCGAAGGCAUCUCACGAAUCCGCGAUUGACGCUGAUGCACGAAAGCGUGGGUAUCAAACAGGAUUAGAUACCCUAGUAGUC